rnacentral:rRNA from 1 species
GAUGAACGCUGGCGGCGUGCCUAAUACAUGCAAGUCGAGCGAACAGAUAAGGAGCUUGCUCCUUUGACGUUAGCGGCGGACGGGUGAGUAACACGUGGGUAACCUACCUAUAAGACUGGGAUAACUUCGGGAAACCGGAGCUAAUACCGGAUAACAUUUGGAACCGCAUAGUUCUAAAGUGAAAGAUGGUUUUGCUAUCACUUAUAGAUGGACCCGCGCCGUAUUAGCUAGUUGGUAAGGUAACGGCUUACCAAGGCAACGAUACGUAGCCGACCUGAGAGGGUGAUCGGCCACACUGGAACUGAGACACGGUCCAGACUCCUACGGGAGGCAGCAGUAGGGAAUCUUCCGCAAAGGGCGAAAGCCUGACGGAGCAACGCCGCGUGAGUGAUGAAGGGUUUCGGCUCGUAAAACUCUGUUAUUAGGGAAGAACAAAUGUGUAAGUAACUGUGCACGUCUUGACGGUACCUAAUCAGAAAGCCACGGCUAACUACGUG